CUGUCUGUCUAUUUUGUUGGUUUCUAGAUGGAUAGUAAUGAUUAAUAGAGAUGGUUGGGGACAUUUAUAUUCCAUGGUCAGAGGUGAAAUUCUUGGAUUCAUGGAAGAUAAACAAGUGCGAAAGCAUUUGUCAAGGAUGUUUUCAUUAAUCAAGAACGAAAGUUAGGGGAUCGAAGACGAUCAGAUACCGUCGUAGUCUUAACCAUAAACGAUGCGGGCCAGGGAUUGGGAGACGUUACGUGGAUGACUCCUCCAGCACCUUGUGAGAAAUCACGAGCCUUUGCGUUCCGGGGGGAGUAUGGUCGCAAGGCUGAAACUUAAAGGAAUUGACGGAAGGGCACCACCAGGAGUGGAGCCUGCGGCUUAAUUUGACUCAACACGGGGAAACUC
rnacentral:rRNA from 1 species